UACGUAGGGUGCAAGCGUUGUCCGGAAUUAUUGGGCGUAAAGAGCUCGUAGGCGGUUUGUCGCGUCUGCCGUGAAAGUCCGGGGCUCAACUCCGGAUCUGCGGUGGGUACGGGCAGACUAGAGUGAUGUAGGGGAGACUGGAAUUCCUGGUGUAGCGGUGAAAUGCGCAGAUAUCAGGAGGAACACCGAUGGCGAAGGCAGGUCUCUGGGCAUUAACUGACGCUGAGGAGCGAAAGUGUGGGGAGCGAACAGG
rnacentral:rRNA from 1 species